CUUUGCGCGCGCCGGGAGGUCUGGAGCGGCGAGGGACGCGGGCUGCCUGGUUCUACCCCAUCAGUUCCUCCAUCCUGCUGCAAUGGUGACAGCUGUGGCCCGGCCAGGCCUUAGGGGGCGGAGAUAACCCCUACGUGACAACCUCAUACGCAUGUGCGCGCUCUCCCAUUUCACAGAUGAGAAAGUGCUGGGUGUUGGAUGGAUGCUUCCUUGAGGCCUCUCCCCUGCCCAGACUCCCUUAUGGGGUUCUGCCCAUCUGGGAAGGAAGAGAAGCACAAGCAAGUUUGGAAGGUCUUCUGUGACAUUCCUGACACCUCAACCUGGAGCCUGGGGUGGGAUGCCCCUUCCAGCUGCCUUGGACCAUGUUGAAAUGCACCCACAUGGAGUCAGUCACUCUAGGAUCUAAAAACAAGCCUCUGACACCACACCUCAUCCCUAGCCUUGCAAGCUCAUCUCAGAUGCAUUUGGUCUUCCACUAUGAGACAGAAUUAAGGAGAGGGUGGUCCUCCUGCAGUCCAAUUCAGGAUCCAGUCCAGGCAAAACAAAGCCAACCCCAGGCAAAGGAUUUCUUCAAGAGCCCCUUCUGCCUAGGAUUCUUUUUCAUGGCCACCCAUCAGGGCAUCAGAGGUAUUAAACUUCAGCCUUUCUGCAAAGCAGGCACCAUUUUGGGGAACAGCUGUGGAGUCUGGUCUUGACAUACCUUAGACAGGCUGAGGUAUCUUUAUCUCCAAAGAUCUUAAGGAGAUCAAGAAGGCCAAGGAAAGGUGGGGGUUCACCUGCUUGCCUGGGUGACUUCUGCACUUUGCUCUGUUGUGGGCCUCAGCCCCACCCACCAUGACCUCUCUAGAGAAAUGAAACUACCUUUGCAUGAGAGGAAGCAGGGGAGUUCCCUGAAGUGUGAUUGUAACCCCCAAAUGCCCCAAACUAGUCCUUCAUCACCAUCUGGAAGAAGAUCCCACAGGAAACAGAAAUCAAACCCUUACCACUGACCCUGAACUGGGUACUGUGCCAGAACAUGCUGGGCCUGUGGAGAAACUGAGACUCAGAGCUGUCAGACAGAAGAGCCAAAUGACAGUGGAGCCAGCUCUCCCAUGAAACAGAAACUUGCAGGCUCAGGUGUUUUUGAAAGGCAAGUUAAAGAAAGUGUCGGUCUUUUUCUGUGAUGGUGUGUGUGUGUGUGUGUGUGUGUGU